rnacentral:rRNA from 1 species
GACGAGGGGUCCUACCGUUGUUCGGAAUCACUGGGCGUAAAGCGUUUGUAGGCGGGCUUUUAAGUCAGGUGUGAAAUCCCAUGGCUCAACCAUGGAAUUGCAUUUGAAACUGGAAGUCUUGAGUGUGGGAGAGAUUGGUAGAAUACCUGGUGUAGUGGUGAAAUACGUAGAUAUCAGGUGGAAUACCGGUGGCGAAGGCGGCCAAUUGGCCCAACACUGACGCUGAGAUACGAAAGCGUGGGGAUCAAACAGG